CCACCACCAAAGCAUUUGCUGUACCGCGUUGACGGAGCGAAGCGACGUCAAACCGAUAAAACAGCAGUGUAAAGUGAGCCGCAGGGCGCUUUGCGCGACAGCGCAAAGGCAGGCGGUUUCGCGUAGCGAAAGCGAAUGCUUUGGGGUGGGGUGACUGCGUACCUUUUGUAUAAUGGGUCAGCGACUUAUAUUCUGUAGCAAGGUUAACCGAAUAGGGGAGCCGGAGGGAAACCGAGUCUUAAUUGGGCGUUAAGUUGCAGGGUAUAGACCCGAAACCCGGUGAUCUAGCCAUGGGCAGGUUGAAGGGUGGGUAACACUAACUGGAGGACCGAACCGACUAAUGUUGAAAAAUUAGCGGAUGACCUGUGGCUGGGGGUGAAAGGCCAAUCAAACCGGGAGAUAGCUGGUUCUCCCCGAAAGCUAUUUAGGUAGCGCCUCGUGAAUUCAUCUCCGGGGGUAGAGCACUGUUUCGGCUAGGGGGCCAUCCCGGCUUACCAACCCGAUGCAAACUGCGAAUACCGGAGAAUGUUAUCACGGGAGACACACGGCGGGUGCUAACGUCCGUCGUGAAGAGGGAAACAACCCAGACCGCCAGCUAAGGUCCCAAAGUCAUGGUUAAGUGGGAAACGAUGUGGGAAGGCCCAGACAGCCAGGAUGUUGGCUUAGAAGCAGCCAUCAUUUAAAGAAAGCGUAAUAGCUCACUGGUCGAGUCGGCCUGCGCGGAAGAUGUAACGGGGCUAAACCAUG
rnacentral:rRNA from 1 species